GUGUUGUUUUGCUGUAUAUUUGUACGUAACACAGAGCGUAUGUAAUCAGCCAAAGUUGAGUUAAUGAACCUGGCAUGAGUAGGCAGCGAAGAAUCCGUUAAUUAACCAGGUGUGUUGAUGUAUGAUACGUGACGAAAUCCGUUAAUUAACCAGGGUGUGUUGAUGUGUGAUACGUGAAGGUUCCGUUAAUUAACCAGGUGUGUUGAUGUGUGAUACGUGAAGAAUCCGUUAAUUAACCAGGUGUGUUGAUGUGUGAUACGUGAAGAAUCCGUUA